GGGAAUGGGUCUGAGGUGGGAUGCUGCAAGGGGCGGUGUGGACUUGUUUGGCCAAAGGGCCUGUUUCCACACAGUAGGGAAUCUAAUCUAAUCACACCUAAGUCAAGCUACAUCCUAUAACAUCUAUCUGGCCAGGUAAUUUUAUAUUCCAAGCUUGCCUUCUAGUCAUGAUUCUCCCAGGUUAAACACUGUAAUCCUCACACCCACUUCAAACCUGUCUAGCUUUGUCUAGCUUUUCAUUGCAUCUUAUGAAAAAGGUGUAUGUCACAGCAAGACUUUGGAAAUUUUACCAUACAGCAUGGGAUUGACCCCAGUAUCAAAACAUUUAAACUCUGCUCAAUUACAACUUUAACAGGUAAUGAAAUAAGAACAAGGGACUGAGUACAAAUUUAAGAUUACAGAAAGAAUUGAAGGGUAGAAUUUUUUUUUUAAAAAGCUCUUCACAGUGGUGGCUACAAUAUAGAUUUCUCUUUCGCAAACAUCAUUAAUAAACUUUUUUUUUGAAAAAGACAAAUAUUUUAGGGUACAACUGAGUUAGCAGAAAAGCGAGUUUGGCUCAUUGAUGCAGACUUGAUGGAGUUAAAAGACAUGCUUCUGUACUGUGACAUACCAAAACUGGAACAGUGAGCAGCAAUUUGCUGAAAUCUGAUGAUAUAUAGUGCACCCAGUACAGAGAGCAUGCACUAAACUGACACGGAGAUUGUACUGCUGUCAGACUCAGCAGCCUGACCAACAUUGAUUAAAGAAAGGAUAACACACACUAGUUUGCUUGAAAUGUGAAACUCAGUGUCACUGCAGUGACAACUCAAAAAACAAUCUGCGGAACAGCUGAGAACUGGAACAGUGUACAGAAAAGACGCUGGAAACAAGCAGAGUUGUACUGUGGAAUUAGAAUCAGAAGGAGGAACGGAAAAGCAAGCACAUAGCAACACUUGCUUCAUACUAGCGGUUACUCACCUUCUGACUCCCAAAGCUUUCCACCACCUACAGACAACAGAAAGCAAUGGAACACUCUUCACUUGAUUGACUGAAUGCUACUUCAACACCACUCUAGGAGCUCAUCACCAUCUAAGACAAAGCAGCCAAACUAGCUCUGUUAGAAUGUCUUCUGAAGUUAGUCCCUGGGAACAGCUGGAUGCUAUAAUCAAUAAUCUACUCAUCAAACUUCAAGAAUUACACCAGUCUGACACACUAACACGUAUCUCCUUUACCAUCAUCCUGACAUUCAUCUGUACUUUUCUCCUAUUGCUUUUUAUUCCCGUCAUUUGUUGUUGCUGUUCCUGCAGUUGCGGAAAAAGAACUAGCAGAGUGAAACCCACAUCCCAUGCCUAACUGUAUGAAUCCUCAGAUCAGCAUGACAACACAUGAGCAAUGGGCCUACCUGGCAGUGGUGUACAAUGAAGAUAGACUGUGCUGUUCAUUUGUCAUGCGCCACUUUGUGCACAUCUAGGAUGGGACAAAACACCUGUUCGAAGAGCUGUCUCCAAUUGUUGGCCCUAAUAUGACAGUUUUUUGCUGGGAUAUCAAAGGACACCUUAAAACACACUGAAAACCCUGGACCUGAUAAAUAUAUACAUGUGUAUACAUUCAACCAUUAUCCAAUACUCCAAACCCUUCACAGUUAUUUAAAUCCAUCAAUAUGGUGAACACCCUCACUCUCACUUUAUUCAAGCACUUUUCACCAAAUGGCAGGUUUUGACACUAUUGAUUCAUCAGGAAGGACCAGCAACCUCCAUCCUAGCCACCAACGCAGUAAUCAUCUUCCAAUCUAAUGAACCAGCCUGGCCAUAGUGGGACUGGGAUUUAUUCAGCUCAAAGCAAAUAAUAUAAUCAUAAACCAAAGGACAGCUAACACACCAGCUAAUUUCCUCUGACCCUGAGGAGUAUUUUUUACUGGCUACCAACAUAGCCCAGUUACUGUGGGGGCCUCCCAAAUUCAUGCACAUGAAUAUUAUUUACAAUCCUGUUAAGCUGCAUAGGAGUAACCCAUGAUCACAGUUACCAGUAACAACAGACCUCCUGUCACAACCUGGCCUUUUUCAUUCUUAAGCCAACUUUUACAGUGCCUGUUUUUGAAUGCCAACUGACACAAUUGACAUUGAUGUUAAAUGCAAUGCUCUACUGAACACCAUUUUUAUUAAUUGCUGCUUUAUCCCCAGCCUCACAGCAGCCCUUCAGUAGAACUGCUUCUAAUUGAAUUAUAAAUAAGACAUUUUAAACAGAGUGUUUAAUAAACUUUUGCAAGUAAA